rnacentral:rRNA from 1 species
UACGGGGGGAGCAAGCGUUGUUCGGAUUUACUGGGCGUAAAGGGCGCGUAGGCGGCCACCGCAAGUCGGUUGUGAAAUCUCUGGGCUUAACCCAGAAAGGUCAACCGAUACUGCGGGGCUAGAGUGCAGAAGGGGCAACUGGAAUUCUCGGUGUAGCGGUGAAAUGCGUAGAUAUCGAGAGGAACACCUGAGGUGAAGACGGGUUGCUGGGCCGACACUGACGCUGACAGCGCGAAAGCCAGGGGAGCAAACGGG